ACGGGAGGCAGCAGUGGGGAAUAUUGCACAAUGGGGGAAACCCUGAUGCAGCGACGCCGCGUGAGCGAAGAAGUAUUUCGGUAUGUAAAGCUCUAUCAGCAGGGAAGAAAAUGACGGUACCUGACUAAGAAGCACCGGCUAAAUACGUGCCAGCAGCCGCGGUAAUACGUAUGGUGCAAGCGUUAUCCGGAUUUACUGGGUGUAAAGGGUGCGUAGGUGGUAUGGCAAGUCAGAUGUGAAAACUUUGGGCUCAACCCAAAGCCUGCAUUUGAAACUACCAAACUAGAGUGCAGGAGAGGAAAGUGGAAUUCCUAGUGUAGCGGUGAAAUGCGUAGAUAUUAGGAGGAACACCAGUGGCGAAGGCGGCUUUCUGGACUGUUACUGACACUGAGGCACGAAAGCGUGGGGAGCAAACAGGAUUAGAUACCCUGGUA
rnacentral:rRNA from 1 species